rnacentral:tRNA from 1 species
GAUAAAGGAAGGAAUUUAGCCCCCUUAUGUAGGACUACAGCCUACCGCCUAACAAUCGGCCACUUUACC